rnacentral:rRNA from 1 species
CCUACGGGAGGCAGCAGUGAGGAAUAUUGGUCAAUGGCCGAGAGGCUGAACCAGCCAAGUCGCGUGAGGGAAGACGGCCCUACGGGUUGUAAACCUCUUUUGUCGGGGAGCAAAGCGAGUCACGUGUGACUCAUUGAGAGUACCCGAAGAAAAAGCAUCGGCUAACUCCGUGCCAGCAGCCGCGGUAAUACGGAGGAUGCGAGCGUUAUCCGGAUUUAUUGGGUUUAAAGGGUGCGCAGGCGGAGGGGCAAGUCAGCGGUCAAAUUGCGGGGCUCAACCCCGUACUGCCGUUGAAACUGCAGCCCUUGAGUGCGCGAGAAGUAUGCGGAAUGCGUGGUGUAGCGGGGAAAUGCAUAGAUAUCACGCAGAACCCCGAUUGCGAAGGCAGCAUACCGGCGCCCUACUGACGCUGAGGCACGAAAGUGCGGGUAUCGAACAGGAUUAGAUACCCGUGUAGUC